rnacentral:rRNA from 1 species
GAUGAACGCUGGCAGAAUGCUUAACACAUGCAAGUCGUUGGCAAAACUGUGCUUUCACAGCCUAGCCAGGGCGGACGGGGGGGGAACGCGUAAGGAACUUGCCCUGCAGUCAGGGAUAACAGACGGAAACGACUGAUAAGACCUGGUAAAGUCAGGCGGAGUCAUGUGGAGCCUUAUGGAAAGAGCAGCUUCAGGUGAGCCUUGCGUCGGAUUAGCUAGUUGUUGGGGUAAAGCCUAACCAGGGCGACGAUAGGUAACCGGCCUGAGAGGAUGGUCGGGCACACUGGAACUGAGACACGGUCCCGACUCCUACGGGAGGCAGCAGUGGGGAAUAUUGGACGAUGGGCGAAAGCCUGAUCCAGCCAUGCCGCGUGUGUGAAGAAGGUCUUCGGAUUGUAAAGCACUUUAAGUUGGGAGGAAGGGCAGUAAGUUAAUACCUUGCUGUUUUGACGUUACCAACAGAAUAAGCACCGGCUAACUUCGUG